rnacentral:rRNA from 1 species
ACGGCUCAGUAACACGUAGUCAACAUGCCCAGGGGACGUGGAUAACCUCGGGAAACUGAGGAUAAACCGCGAUAGGUCAUCACUUCUGGAAUGGGUAAUGACUUAAAUCUAUAUGGCCCCUGGAUUGGACUGCGGCCGAUCAGGCUGUUGGUGAGGUAAUGGCCCACCAAACCUGUAACCGGUACGGGCUCUGAGAGGAGGAGCCCGGAGAUGGGCACUGAGACAAGGGCCCAGGCCCUAUGGGGCGCAGCAGGCGCGAAACCUCUGCAAUAGGCGAAAGCUUGACAGGGUUACUCUGAGUGAUUUCCGUUAAGGAGAUCUUUUGGCACCUCUAAAAAUGGUGCAGAAUAAGGGGUGGGCAAGUCUGGUGUCAGCCGCCGCGGUAAUACCAGCACCCCGAGUGGUCGGGACGUUUAUUGGGCCUAAAGCAUCCGUAGCCGGUUCUACAAGUCUUCCGUUAAAUCCACCUGCUUAACAGAUGGGCUGCGGAAGAUACUAUAGAGCUAGGAGGCGGGAGAGGCAAGCGGUACUCGAUGGGUAGGGGUAAAAUCCGUUGAUCCAUUGAAGACCACCAGUGGCGAAGGCGGCUUGCCAGAACGCGCUCGACGGUGAGGGAUGAAAGCUGGGGGAGCAAACCGGAUUAGAUACCCGGGUAGUCCCAGCUGUAAACGAUGCAGACUCGGUGAUGAGUUGGCUUAUUGCUAACUCAGUGCCGCAGGGAAGCCGUUAAGUUUGCCGCCUGGGGAGUACGGUCGCAAGACUGAAACUUAAAGGAAUUGGCGGGGGAG